GAUGAACGCUAGCGGCAGGCUUAAUACAUGCAAGUCGAACGAACAGCAAUGUUAGUGGCGCACGGGUGCGUAACGCGUAUGCAACUUGCCUUUAACUGGGGGAUAACGUUUCGAAAGAGGCGCUAAUACCGCAUAAUACAGUGAAGACACAUGUUUUUAUUGUUAAAGCUCCGGCGGUUAAAGAUGGGCAUGCGUAGGAUUAGCUAGUUGGUAAGGUAACGGCUUACCAAGGCGACGAUCCUUAGGGGUUCUGUGAGGAAGGUCCCCCACACUGGUACUGAGAUACGGACCAGACUCCUACGGGAGGCAGCAGUAGGGAAUAUUGGUCAAUGGGCACAAGCCUGAACCAGCCAUGCCGCGUGCAGGAAGAAUGCCCUCUGGGUUGUAAACUGCUUUUGACAGGGAAGAAAUCACUUAUGCGUAAGUGUCUGACGGUACCUGUAGAAUAAGCACCGGCUAACUCCGUGCCAGCAGCCGCGGUAA
rnacentral:rRNA from 1 species